rnacentral:lncRNA from 1 species
ACAGAGAACUACUUUACCACAAAAAAAUAUGGAAAGAGGCAUCCCAUAUUUUUUUAGCAUGUUUUGGGAUGUAGAAUUAUGUAGGGAGGCAAAAUCCUAUAAGAGUCCAGGAUCACUAGGACUCUUCACCCCACCUCCCUACACACCUAUAAAAGGGGUUUUGUGGUUUCUUUUAUGUGUGUAAGAUAGAAAAAGAGAGGUCUUCACAUGAAAAAAGUUUGGGUAUGAUUUAUGAUGUGAAAAAUAGAGAGGAGGGUCUUCUCUCGUGGGGUGUGCGCAAAAAUCUGAAUUUUAAAUUUUUAGUUCUAAGGGC